rnacentral:rRNA from 1 species
UUCCGCUGUCUCUAUAAGUUCCAUAAAAACUAUCCCUCAAGUGAAGAGACUUGAAUUCCAAUAAAAGACAAGAAGACCCUGUAGAGCCUAAGCAAAAAUUAAAUACAAAAUAAAUAAUUAAAACACCUUCUUUAAUUUAGCUCCAGUUGGGGCGACUUAGGAGCAACAAAACCCUCCUUACCUUUAAAAGGCCUUUUAGCCCACAAAAUGAUCCAUUAUUUCUAUGAUUAAAAACCCAGGCUACCUCAGGGAUAACAGUCUAAUCUUCCUUAAGAGCCCAUAUUGACAGGAAGGAUUGGCACCUCGAUGUUGGCUUAGGAA